AGUGUGAAUUGCAGAAUUCCGCGAAUCAUCGAGUUUUUGAACGCAUGUUGCGCCCGAGGCUUUGCCGAGGGCAUGUCUGCCUGAGCGUCACC
rnacentral:rRNA from 1 species